GUGGGGAAUAUUGGACAAUGGGCGAAAGCCUGAUCCAGCCAUGCCGCGUGUGUGAAGAAGGUCUUCGGAUUGUAAAGCACUUUAAGUUGGGAGGAAGGGCAGUAAGUUAAUACCUUGCUGUUUUGACGUUACCGACAGAAUAAGCACCGGCUAACUCUGUGCCAGCAGCCGCGGUAAUACGUAGGGUGCGAGCGUUAAUCGGAAUUACUGGGCGUAAAGCGCGCGUAGGUGGUUCGUUAAGUUGGAUGUGAAAGCCCCGGGCUCAACCUGGGAACGGCAUCCAAAACUGGCGAGCUAGAGUACGGUAGAGGGUGGUGGAAUUUCCUGUGUAGCGGUGAAAUGCGUAGAUAUAGGAAGGAACACCAGUGGCGAAGGCGACCACCUGGACUGAUACUGACACUGAGGUGCGAAAGCGUGGGGAGCAAACAGGAUUAGAAACCCCGGUAGUCC
rnacentral:rRNA from 1 species